CCUACGGGUGGCUGCAGUGGGGAAUAUUGGACAAUGGGCGAAAGCCUGAUCCAGCCAUGCCGCGUGUGUGAAGAAGGCCUUCGGGUUGUAAAGCACUUUCAGUGGGGAAGAAAGCCUUGGGGCUAAUACCCUCGAGGAAGGACAUCACCCACAGAAGAAGCACCGGCUAACUCCGUGCCAGCAGCCGCGGUAAUACGGAGGGUGCGAGCGUUAAUCGGAAUUACUGGGCGUAAAGCGCGCGUAGGCGGUCUGAUAAGCCGGUUGUGAAAGCCCCGGGCUCAACCUGGGAACGGCAUCCGGAACUGUCAGGCUAGAGUGCAGGAGAGGAAGGUAGAAUUCCCGGUGUAGCGGUGAAAUGCGUAGAGAUCGGGAGGAAUACCAGUGGCGAAGGCGGCCUUCUGGACUGACACUGACGCUGAGGUGCGAAAGCGUGGGUAGCAAACAGGAUUAGAUCCCGGGUAGUC
rnacentral:rRNA from 1 species